rnacentral:rRNA from 1 species
UACGUAGGUGGCAAGCGUUGUCCGGAAUUAUUGGGCGUAAAGCGCGCGCAGGCGGUCCUUUAAGUCUGAUGUGAAAGCCCACGGCUCAACCGUGGAGGGUCAUUGGAAACUGGGGGGACUUGAGUACAGAAGAGGAGAGUGGAAUUCCACGUGUAGCGGUGAAAUGCGUAGAGAUGUGGAGGAACACCAGUGGCGAAGGCGACUCUCUGGGUCUGUAACUGACGCUGAGGCGCGAAAGCGUGGGGAGCAAACAGG